UCUACGUGACACAAGCCAGCUACACAGUAGAUUCCUUUAGUCAAACAUAUUCAGGGUCAAAGUACAUGGAUUCUUUCAUGGUUAUUACAACAACAGCUAGAGUAAGAUUCUUCCACUGUUGGUGUAGUUUUUCGUAUUUAAAAGACUUGGUGAAAGAAUUACACCGGAAAGCCCCAUCCAACUCCUUGUCUGGGAUUUCAACCUUCAACCAACAGGAAUUUUUACUGCGCCAUUUUCCUUGUUGAAAGUAUGUGCUUUCAUCGAGUCCUCCAUCCCAAAUGGCAGCAGAGGCAUCAGAGUUUCUGAUGAGAAGGGGAUGCAGACGUCUUUGAAGAAGUAGCACAGCAACCCAAUGCUGGUGUAUUUACUAUCAGAUCUGACAAUGAUUCCAAGGGGACAACCUUUUCCAGCUCUUCCCAGGCCACUGCUUGAUGUCAUAACCAACUCAACACUGUACGUUUCAGCUUGUGGCUCAGAUGUUACAGUCCUGGAUGAGGAAUGAAGCGCUUCCAGAAAACGAGAGAAGGCUGAUAAUGAUGUCAAACAUGUAAGUUGAUGUGUAAAAUGUAUUUGUGAGAGCCUCCUUUGCACAGUUUUUUGAUUGGUAGCUCUUUCUGUAGAUGUAUUUACUGUCAGUUGUUCAUGAUUAUUUAUUUUUACUGAAUAUUGUCUUGUCUUCUACUCCUUUCACCACACCUGGUGGAGUCGUAUCAUCAAGGCGAAGAAAGCUCUGACUGACUCCUCACGACAACAGGUAGUUAAAGGAUAAUCUCAGGAUUUUUAAACCUGGGCCCCAUUUUCAUGUAUUUUGGUGGCCCCGACCACUAUCUUUAGCGCCCCUAAAGGCAGCGAGCAGGCCACAGAAUUGGCUACAACCCACUCUCCAGUGAAGUCAAGACAGUAGUAGUAUAUCAGACUUCAGAAUGAUGUUGGCACCACCUACUCAAUUAGCAUUACAGUAAUAAAUGCAUUUAGAAAUGCAUAAAUAAAUGUGGAAAUACAGUAAUAAAUGCAUGUAGAAAUGCAUAAAUAAAUAUAGAAUUAGCCUUAUUACAAAAAUAUAUUUAAUUUUAAUUUAUUUCUGCAUUUAUUUAUUUAUUCAUUUAUAGAUAUGUCAUUUUUGAUAUGUGAGAUAAUCAGCUGAUUAAUUGGCAAUAAAAUGGUAACUUAGAGCAUUAAAGCUCAGAUCAGCUCACAUUUUACUGCCCUGGUAGAAAAAUAUGUGGUUUGAUUGUAAUGUAAUGUUAUUCUCCAGGCUUUGGCUUUGCUACCUGGACAUAAAUGUAUCGGUUACAUUCUGUGAUCAGCUGGUUAAUUGGCAAUAAAACUGUAGUCUACAGCAUGGAAGUUAAAACCAGUUAAACUUUUACUGCCCCGAUAGAAAAAAUAUUUAGUUGGAUUGAGUGAGGAGCUUUGUUGCAAUUCUCAACCUUCACUACUAGAUGAAACUUGCACACUUAACCUUUAAAUAAUAAAAUAUGUAAGUGUGACAAUAGCACAAAAUGAGCUUUGUUAAUGUACAUUUGGAACAUUUGUUUUUUUCUAAGAGAUAUCAAAUAUUGUGGUUGUACAGGCAAAAUGUUUUACACAUGUUUAAUCGCAGGGUUGUGUAGUACUGCUCUCCUGGGUGUCUAGGUUUUAUUGGGCUCACAAAAUGAUGACAACUUGAUGGGUCAUACAUUUUUAAUCAGCCGUCAUGCCUUAUUAGUUAAUUCCCAUGACUGCCAAUAAAAUGAGAUAGAAGUUAACAGAGAUUGAUGCCAUCAUGGUGAGGAUGAGAACACAGGGAUGGGAUGGGUCAUUACAUCAGAGAGAACCACAAGACUGAACUGUUUACAUUUUCUAACACCUGAGUUGGUAGGUUUGUCAAAUUGUUAUCUCAAUCUGGUCCUUGCAUAACUAAAUAUAUUCUAGCACCCUGUGUUGCCGCCUAAAAUUUGUCUCAACCCACUGUUGAUAUUCUGAAGCCCAACUGUGAAGUAUGUUGACCUUAAACAAAUUAAAGAGGUACUCCAUUGAUUUAGUAUUGCACUUCCACAAAGUUGUGGACUCAGAAGAGACAGUUCAGUCAGAAUCAAAGCAACAAAGGCAGAGAUUUCCUUACGUCUGGUCCCUGGUAUGGGUCAAGCUCCAAAAACACUGGAUCCUAAAUUUCCUAAAAUGCAACUUGAUAGUAUCUUCAGUAGGGAUGGGGAUCGUUAAUUUUUAUUGAUAUUGAUACCCUUGUUAAGGCUGCUUGAUGAUCCGAUUUUUUUAUCAAUACCACUAUCAAUACUUUACUAUUAUUAGGUGAUUGUUAUUUGGUAAGACAAGACCCAAAGGGCAUGAUGUAGGCCGGCAUGAGAAUUAUUUAAUGUGCGAUAACAUAGAUAUAUAUUGAGGUGACAUAUCACUUGCGAUAAAUAAACAAAUAUUGAGGUGUGCAUAAUAACUGCCUCAUUGUUUUUAAAUGAAUUAUAGGAUUCAAAAUUAAUAUUUUUAAUAAAUCUAAAUGUUUCUAGAGCAGCAACGUUAAUGCUUGCAACAGCAAAUAAACUCAAUAUCUGACAUCACAAUAGUGAGUGACGUUUAGAAGGAAUAAAAACUCAGACAUCAGUCUGUAUCAGUCUCACCACCUCCUCCUCCUCCUCUCUGCUGUUAUUCACUGCUGCAGGUAAGGUUACCUGGUCGAAGGAGGAGCAGAUGGUGUGUCUUAGCCAGCAGCUGUUUUUAACAAUGUGCUAAAUUUCUACAAACAGACAACACAGAGAAAGGACAACACCUGCAAGAGAAUGGGGAUGAGGGGUGGGGACAACAGGAAAUAGCAGAGGGAAACACCAAUUGCAGACGUGGACGUUAAUGUCACUCAACAAAUUUUUUAAUUACAACCACUAAUCAACAUACUAUCAAUUCAGUUUUAUUUAUAUAGCGGCAAUUCACAACAAAAGUAAAAACAAAUUCUCGUGUGUGUGUUUGUGUGUGUAUGUGUGUGUGUGUGUAUAAAAAGUAACUUUGUGUUGAAAAGAACAUAGCCUCAGAUUAAGGGUGUGACGAUACCCUUGACUCACGAGAUGUGGUGAUGCACAAUUCUGUGUACAUGAGAACAAGAAGAGCAAAGUUUUAACCCUAUUUUGAAGUAAUAUUCAACGCUGAAAUAUAUGAGUGGGAAGUCUGGGGGUCCUCCCAGAUGUUUUUGAGCAUUUAACACUUAAUUUUCUGACUUCUGGAGAAAUAUUCUGUACCAGUUUAUGGUGGAAAUGUCUUUAUUUAUGUAAAAGGAAACACAAAAUGAAUCUGGCAGGUGACAAUUCAAAAUAUAAAAAUAUAAUGCAGUAAUCAGCAGCUUGUUCUUUUAGCUUGUGUACAUGUGUUUCUUUUGUUUACAUUGUAUUGCAUGUUGUGUUAUUGUGCUAUUAAACCUUUCUUAAAGCA